UACGUAGGGUGCGAGCGUUAAUCGGAAUUACUGGGCGUAAAGCGUGCGCAGGCGGUUAUUUAAGUCAGGUGUGAAAGCCCUGGGCUUAACCUAGGAAUUGCGCUUGAGACGGGAUAGCUUGGAGUGCGGCAGAGGGAGGUGGAAUUCCACGUGUAGCAGUGAAAUGCGUAGAGAUGUGGAGGAACACCGAUGGCGAAGGCAGCCUCCUGGGCCAGCACUGACGCUCAUGCACGAAAGCGUGGGGAGCAAACAGG
rnacentral:rRNA from 1 species